UACGUAGGGGGCAAGCGUUGUCCGGAUUCAUUGGGCGUAAAGAGCGUGUAGGCGGCCAGGUAGGUCGGUUGUGAAAACUGGAGGCUCAACCUUCAGAGGUCGACCGAAACCAUCUGGCUAGAGUCCGGGAGAGGAGAGUGGAAUUCCUGGUGUAGCGGUGAAAUGCGCAGAUAUCUGGAGGAACACCGGUGGCGAAGGCGGCAUCCUGGACCGAUACUGACGCUGAGGAGCGAAAGCCAGGGGAGCAAACGGG
rnacentral:rRNA from 1 species